UACGAAGGGGGCUAGCGUUGCUCGGAAUCACUGGGCGUAAAGCGCACGUAGGCGGCUUUUUAAGUCAGGGGUGAAAUCCUGGAGCUCAACUCCAGAACUGCCUUUGAUACUGAGAAGCUUGAGUUCGGGAGAGGUGAGUGGAACUGCGAGUGUAGAGGUGAAAUUCGUAGAUAUUCGCAAGAACACCAGUGGCGAAGGCGGCUCACUGGCCCGAUACUGACGCUGAGGUGCGAAAGCCAGGGGAGCGAACGGG
rnacentral:rRNA from 1 species